AUCCGAUUUUGGCGAAACUUAAAAUAUAGGCCUAUCUCCUAAAGAUCUCGGUUCCUUUUGAUAUUGACAUGUAUCGGAUCAUAACUUCAUGGAUUAUGGCUCCUGAUUGUACGAAAAAUCACGUUUUUAGCUUGUGUCGACACUCUAGAGGUCACAAUUUUGAUCCGAUUUUGAUAAAACUUGAAAUGCAUGUUUAUAACCCAAAGAUCUUGAUUCCUUUCAAUAUUCGCGCAUAUCGAAUCGUAACUUCCUGAAUUAUGGCCCUUGAUUGUACGAAAAAUCGCGUUUUGAGACUGUGGUCCCUAUAUAGGUCCCAAAUCCCAUAUUCGCGUAUAUCGAUUCGUAACUGCCUGGAUUAUGGCCCCUGACUGUACGAAAAAUCUCGCGUUUUUAGCUUGUGGUCUCUCCAGAGGUCACAAUUUUUAUCCGAUCUAAAAAACCGUUUUAUUUUAUCACCGUUACAUCCUUAUGAUGGUCGAGUUCGAAUUUCGUGAAAAUCAGACCAAAACUGUCGGACAAAAUGACCGCCCUUUUUACGCAAAUAGUGCAAACAUCUGGUAUAUCAAGGUUGUGAGACUCCUAGCGGUCCCAAUUUUGAUCCGAUUUUGAUAAAACUUGAAAUGCAUGUUCAUAACCCAAAGAUCUUGAUUCCUUUCAAUAUUCGCGCAUAUCGAAUCGUAACUUCCUGAAUUAUGGCCCUUGAUUGUACGAAAAAUCGCGUUUUGAGACUGUGGUCCCUAUAUAGGUCCCAAAUCCCAAUUUUUAUCCGAUUUAAAAAAAAACCCCAACAAAACCAUGUGAAUAAUAUUAUAUCACAGUUAUACACUAAUGAUGGUUGACUUCGAAUUUCGGGAAAAUCGGACUAAAACUGACGGACAUAAUGGCCGCCCCUUGUACGCAAAUAGUGUAAAAAUGUAAAAAUAUGGUAUAAGGUUGUUGACCCUCUAGAGGCCACACUUUUUAUCCGAUUUGGAUGAAACUUUAAAUACAUGUUUUUUAUCAUAAAGAUCUUGGUUGCUUUUGAUAAUCACACAUAUCCGAACGUAACCUCCUGGAUUAUGGUCGAAAAAUCGCAUUUUUAGCUGGUGGAUUCUCUAGAGGUCACAAUGUUUUUUCCGAUUUUUAAAACCGUUUGGAUUUUUUACCAUUCCGUCAUAAUAAAGGUUGAAUUCGAAUUUCGGGAAAAUCGAAAUGAAACUGCCCGACAAAAUGGCCGCUCUUUGUACGCAAAUUGUGUAUAAGUACAUGUAUGUAAUACAGAGGUUAUGGACCCUCUAGAGGUCACAAUUUUUUAUCGGAUUUUGAUGAAACUUAAAACAUAUCUUUAUAUUCCAAAAAUCUCAGCCCCUUUUGAUAUUUGCGCAUUUCAGAACAUAACUUUCUGGAUUAUGGCCCCUGACCCCCUGUCACGGUCGUAUUUCAUUAGUGUCACUAUGGGUCGCCCAAACUCUGCCGCGUGGCUCGCCCAAACUAUUUACCUGUAAUAUUAAGGCUCGCCCAAACUGUCUACCUUCAAUGCACGUGCAUACAGGUAGUAUAUAAACCCGAGAAUCGGGCAGGUUUAGGAGAUGGAUUAUGAAAGUUGGGUUGGAGGACUCGAUACUGCCAUCGGGUACUUGGGUCCCCUUUUGGGUACCUACUGACGGAUGGUAACUGUUCACUUCUGGAGUCGCCGAUAAAUGGUAUCGUCGAUGUAUGGCCUUGCCGAUGGGUGGACUGUUCUGUAAAUGGUAUCGUCUAUGAUAGUCGCCGAUAAAUGGUAUCGUCGAUGUAUGGUCUUGCCGAUGGGUGGACUAUUCUGUGAAUGGUAUCGUCUAUGAUUAGUCGCCGAUAAAUGGUAUCGUCGAUGUAUGGUGUUGCCGAUGGGUGGACUGUUUGUUCUGUGAAUGGUAUCGUCUAUGAUUAGUCGCCGAUAAAUGGUAUCGUCGAUGUAUGGUCUUGCCGAUGGGUGGACUGUUCUGUGAAUGGUAUCGUCUAUGAGUCGCCGGUAAAUGGUAUCGUCGAUAUAUGGUCUUGCCGAUGGGUGGACACUGUGUUAUGGGAAUGGUAUCGCCUGAGUGGUCGCUGAACAAUGGCAUCGUCGAUGUAUGGUAUUUGUUAAAUGGUGUCGAUAUAUGGUGAUGCUGACGGAUGGACAUUUUUCCCUAGCUUCAUAAUUUAUAUAGUGCGCGCACUUAAAGUGUUCAUUGUUAUAUUGUAUUUUGAGUUAUAUAAAAUGAAUUCUUUUGUA